UACGAAGGGGGCUAGCGUUGCUCGGAAUCACUGGGCGUAAAGCGCACGUAGGCGGCUUUCUAAGUCAGGGGUGAAAUCCUGGAGCUCAACUCCAGAACUGCCUUUGAUACUGGAGAGCUUGAGUCCGGAAGAGGUGAGUGGAAUUCCCAGUGUAGCGGUGAAAUGCGUAGAUAUUGGGAGGAACACCAGUGGCGAAGGCGGCUCACUGGACCGGUACUGACGCUGAGGCGCGAAAGCGUGGGGAGCAAACAGG
rnacentral:rRNA from 1 species